rnacentral:rRNA from 1 species
AGAAUCAACGCUGGCGGCGUGCCUAACACAUGCAAGUCGAUCGAGAAAGUGGAGCAAUCCAUGAGUAAAGAGGCGCACGGGUGAGUAACACGUGACUAACCUACCUUCGAGUGGGGAAUAAACCUGGGGAAACCCGGGCUAAUACCGCAUAAUACCUACGGGUCAAAGGAGCAAUUCGCUUGAAGAGGGGGUCGCGGCAGAUUAGUUAGUUGGCGGGGUAAUGGCCCACCAAGACGAUGAUCUGUAUCCGGCCUGAGAGGGCGCACGGACACACUGGAACUGAAACACGGUCCAGACUCCUACGGGAGGCAGCAGUGGGGAAUUUUGCGCAAUGGGGGAAACCCUGACGCAGCAACGCCGCGUGGAGGAUGAAGUCCCUUGGGACGUAAACUCCUUUCGACCGGGACGAUUAUGACGGUACCGGAUGAAGAAGCCCCGGCUAACUUCGUGCCAGCAGCCGC